UUUAUAAACCUGAGAAGUUUUUAGUUUUCAACUUCUAACUAUUUUAAACUUCGGGCCUACAGCAUACUGAUAAUGCAAGGUCUAUACUGCUUCCGUAGUCACUCAAACUUUAAAAAAAGUUCAUUGGAUGAAGAAAGCUUGACUGCGUAUUUACUAGAAGAAGUGAAAGACAGUGAUUGACAUCUACAAGCUAUUUUGUUCGUAGUAAAGUUUUAAUUUUGAUGAGAUGCUCUAGUAGUUGUAUCCUUUGCAAGGCCGUAAUAAGGUGACCACAGUUUUCCAAAAGUAACUUGCAACCCGGAACUUGACAAUCUGAGUUAAUUAUUCCAGCGCUGGUAUUUUAUUCCUUAUGUCGAAUUUACAGGAAGUAGUGUCAUCAAUUUGCGAGUUCCCUCCUCAUAACACGUUUAAAGCUACGCAUCGAACCCGUCUCUCUUGCUCUCUUAUGUUUUAAGGUUUGCACUGUCAACACUAGGUUUUUUCUUAUUUAAGAAUUGAGCAACGUUAACUCUUUUUUUUUCUUUUACUACUCCUUGUUAGUCACUUUUAUUUUACUUUUAUUACCACCAAUUUUUCCCUUAACUUCGAUUCUUUAUUUAUAACUUUCUUGCGGUCCUUUACUAUCUCCAAUACACUAACUCGUUGGAAGUAAUCCUCAAUAAAAAGCCGAAAAAAAAAAUUCCCGAACCCUAAAAAUUUGUUAUAGUUAUCUAACACUUGGUGAAAAUGGACUAGUCCCUUCUACAUUAAACCUUACUAGAAAAGCUUUACCGUAAAAAGGCUGACCCUUUCUCCUAUUCUUGCAAGAAGGGGCUCUUCUCUUAGCCUUAAAAAUCAGCGCUACAACUACAAACUCCAGGAACUUGGUAAAAAAAUCCCAAUUAAUUUUUAGCGGCAAAAGUCAGAAAAUUAGCAACGCUGCAAAAAAAGAUGCAGAAAUACCACAGGGAUACAUGCCCCAUAUCAAAUAACAUGACACUAGAAAUAGACCAAAUAACACGCCAAAAUAGCAGCGCUUUAUAAAACUAUAGCUCUCAUAAAUGUGUAGUGAAGUUGGAUUUCUCGGUAAUAACACUA